GAAAUGCGAUAAGUAAUGUGAAUUGCAGAAUUCAGUGAAUCAUCGAAUCUUUGAACGCACCUUGCGCUCCUUGGUAUUCCUUGGAGCAUGCCUGUUUGAGUAUCAUGAAAUUAUCAAAGCAAAUAUUUUCGUUAAUUCGACUGCCUUUGCUUUGGACUUGGGGGCCUGCAGAUCUCACAGUCUGCUCCUCUUAAAUGCAUUAGCUGGAUUCUCAGUGAGCUCGGUUCCACUCGGCGUGAUAAGUAUCACUCGCUGAGGACACCCGUUAAAAAAGGUGGCCAGGCUUGCAGAUGAACCGCUUCCAACGGUCUAUUGACUUAGACAAUGAAUUUACGAUCUGAUCUCAAAUCAGGUAGGACUACCCGCUGAACUUAA
rnacentral:misc_RNA from 1 species